GGUUAAGUGACUAAGCGUACACGGUGGAUGCCUUGGCAGUCAGAGGCGAUGAAGGACGUAGUAACUUGCGAUAAGCCCAGAUUAGGUAGUAACAACCAUUUGAGUCUGGGAUUUCCGAAUGGGGAAACCCAC
rnacentral:rRNA from 1 species